CUUUGCCUUUUCUUAUCUUAUAAUUUUUACUAAAUAUUUUUUCACUCUGAUCUCUAUACUUUUAAUGACUUCUCAUUUUCCUCCCCUUCCCUCUCUUUUUUUUCAGCCUUUUUCUUUUGCAGUUUCUUCUAUGUCGACAGUCCAACUUUCUUUUCUUUGAUUGUUGUGUGAGAUUUAUGAGCAGCUACAUAUGAAAACACCGCAGUGUGUUGUGAGCCCCGCUGCAAAAGGUACUUACCUCGCAUAUAUAGAUCUUCCGAUUCCACAGAAUGAAUCUAUAGUUAAAAUUGUACGAUGUUGGGGGGUCGCAAUCCUCCACAUCUGUUGCAGCUGAACACGAUGCUGCUCACCUUACUAUUAAGAGCAUGGUGGAAGAAUUUGAUUUGCAAGUUAAAGAUGUUAAUUACGAUGAUAGUAUCUUUUAUAAAAAUCUAUAUGAUCAUCUAGCUAUAGAGUAUGUUGUGUUAUUUGCACAGUACAACAACUUGGUUCAUGAGUAUAACUUUGUGAAGGAUUGUUAUGUCACUACUCUUGUACAAAUAAAUGAGUUCGUGACCGAGCGGGUACAGAUAUCCCGUGCCAUUGAAGAGUGCCAUGCUGUAAUUAAUCGCUUGGUUCCCGUUCCACCUAUUACAUAAACUGAUCCAUUAAAUGGUACAUCGGCUCCCUUGGAUUAAUUGUCGAACGUUCAAAGGAAAGUGACAUGUUUUGCUGCUGCUCAUUUUGUGCCUGAUCAUGCAUGCACAUAUGAUUUUUGUGUUGUCCUUUCCAAAAUUAUUCGCCACUCAUUUCAGAUUUAUAUUUUGGCUUAAAACUAUGUGGUGGUCUGUUUAAAGUUGUAUUUUGAUUGUUGUACCUACUGCAGUUUUUGGCUUUCAAAUUUCGUAUAUUCUAUUAUAUUUUCCAAUCUUUGACUUUUUCUUUUAAUAUUUAAGUUAUGGGUUAGUGCCUUCUCCAAAACCUCUGGAAUAUUCAGUUCAAUGUAAAUUUAUGCUUGGUGUGUCCAUUGAUAGUAUGCAACCUAUUUCCUUGCUUAAAGUUAUAUUUUCUACUAAUAUUUUUGUGGUUUUUACCGUGCACUUGUUUUGCUUCUAUAACUCUGCCUUCUCAUGCUGUGAUUUUCGGGCUAUGAUAUUGCCAAAAGAAGAAUAGGUAUAUAUUUGCAUGCUGAAUUGUAAUAAAACGACAACUCAGCUAGGAUUCCAUCUAUUGUUGCUCAAAUUUGUCUCAAAUUAUAAUCUUACAUGCAUUUGGGGAAAAAAGGGUGUUGGCCUAAUAUUAGCUAUUCAACUUUACUCAUGCUUUUGCUUUACUUACUGUAUUAUUCUUCCCUUGCUUUAUUAGCUGUUGAAGUUUACUCAUAGUUGCUCUAAUUACUGAAUUGUUCUCUCUACUGGUGGUGUGCAAAACUGCCUAAAGUUGGUUAUACUUUUUGCUGCUUCAAUUGUGGUAAAAAUGAUCAAACUCCCAUUCCAUGGUUCUUAUUUUUCUUGAUAAUAUUUUUUAAUUUACUUUCAAAAUAUUGAGUAAUUUUGUUCCACAAAAAUUAAUAUUGUUUAACGUAUUUACUGAAAAUAGGUAUAGAUUAAAUACUAUUGUUGAAAAUAAUAUUGUAUAAUUUUACUAUCUUCGGAAAGUUUGCACAAGAUUUGGUUUGUUCUCCGGAUCAGAAUCUAGCCAUUUUACUUGGUUUAAAUAAAUUUACUCUUCUCCCUUUAGUAAAAAUAAUUAUUGGUGACAAUCACAUCUUGCAAGUUGUACCCGACACACCGAAAUUUAGGUCAAGUCUCCCUUCUUUUAAAAUGUUAAAAAUUUUUACUCAAAAUUUGGACAUGAGAGGGAAGACCCUUGCAACAAAAAUUUAUUUGUUGAAUGUGAAGAGCAACUUGAUUCAUCUGCUACCAACAAAUAAAUUCGUGAAGACUUAUUUGAAGAGGCAUCACCAGGAGCCAUGAUUUCAUCAAAGAAAUAAAACUAUAACUUCUAUAUAUUUUAUAAUUAUAGUAAUUUUGUAUAAUUUAUUCUAAUUUUAACUUCUAUAUAUUUUAUAGUUAUAGUAAUUUUGUAUAACUUCUUCUAAUUUUUAUAUAAUUUUGUUAAAAUAGCUCUGUACAAUCUACUGCUGACUUAGAUGAAAUUCAACCUAAAAAAAGACGUCGCCUUAUGUAAUGUCUAGUGUUGAUUUAUUUUCAUAUGUAAUGACAUUGUUUAUAUAUAAGAUAAUUUGUUUUAAAUGCUUCAAACUGAUUUGCACAUUUGAUAAAGCUUCACUAAAUGAAGACAAGUGAAAUGACAAUUAAUGCUGCUGAUUUCUUACGUUUAUCAUAUUAAAAAUGUGUUCUAUAUGAAGUUUAUUAGUUAGUUAUUACUCUAUUUCUAAACUAUGAUUAGUGUUAUAUUAUUUUAUGUUUUAAUUUUAAAAAUAAGUUUGUGUCAAUUAAUGUCGAAUGUAGGAGUGAUUGUAUUGUUUUUCACCUAUUGUCAUCCCUUCUUAUUUUCAUAUAUUAUUUAAGUUAUAUUUAACCAAUACAUCUUAAUGCGGAAGUGAAAAAAUUAGUUUUUUCGGUUGGAAGCAUCUUACUGUCGUAUUUUCGGGUGACAAUGUAUAUGGUGUGUUGUACACUUCUUGCAGGCAUUCCAUAUUGUAUACUGCUUCUAACUUAUAUAUAUCUAUAUUAAAAUAAUUAGUAGCUAUUCAAACUAAAUAUAUGUUUGCAUAUUAUAUAAUUAUAUAUUUUGUUAUCAAUCCAAAUUACUUAUAUAUAUAUAUAUAUAUUAAAAUAAUUAGUAAUCAAUCAAGCUAAAUAUAUGUUUGCAUAAUUCAUAAUUAUAUAUUUUGUUGUCAUUCUAUUUUAUUUUGUAUGGCAAAUCAAUCUUGACUACUAUUCUUUUNUUUGAUAUGAAUGUUAAUAUAUAAUUACGAAAAAGGAGAAAAGGAAGAAAAUAAAAAUAUCAACACAUAUUUAUGUAAGAGGAUGUAAAAGAAUAGUAAUCAAUCAAGCUAAAUAUAUGUUUGCAUAAUUCAUAAUUAUAUAUUUUGUUGUCAUUCUAUUUUAUUUUGUAUGGCAAAUCAAUCUUGACUACUAUUCUUUUACAUCCUCUUACAUAAAUAUGUGUUGAUAUUUUUAUUUUCUUCCUUUUCUCCUUUUUCGUAAUUAUAUAUUAACAUUCAUAUCAAAAUAUUAGCAUCAAAACCAUAUUAAAAUUCACAUCAAAAUAUUAGCGUUUAAACUAUCCGCAGCGAAAUGCGGGUUCAACACUAGUCCAUAUUAAUACACUAGUUUUAUAACACCUCUACUUUUUUAAUACUAAAAAUCGAAAAAAGUAUAUAAAUUUUUAGAUGACUAGUGAAGUGUGUGAUUUAUCCCAACUUUUUCGGUGUAUAGAUAACAUUUCUUUUAAUUAAAAUGGAUAGAUUUCUCUUAUAAACAAACAAUUUUCAAGGAGAGAAUGAUUGAUAUUAUAUUAAAGAAAAUAAUCAACAUUGUGAAGAAUUCAAUUUAGUUAUUAUCAUAUAUAUAUUUUUUUCAUCGUUAAGAAGACAAUGUAGUUAAAAAUGGUCAAAAAAGCCUAAUAAGAAGAUGCUGCGACCACAGUGGGAGUCGAACCCACGACCUUCUGAUCCGAAGUCAGACGCGCUAAUCCACUGCGCUAUGCGGUCAUGUUGUUGGUUUUCACUAAGUUUUCGAUAUAGAAUAAAUUAUAGGAAACCCUAGUCUACAUAUCUGUUUUUUUAAAAUCUACAUUUUAUUCUCUUUCUUAAUAUUUCAAGUUAUUAACCGACCGUCCCUGCCGCAAGAAGCAAAGGAUUUAAUGAUUGGUAUCCGAAGUCCCAAGUUCGAAUCCUAAUUAAUUCACAUUUUCAGUUAAAGUUUAAACGAAGCGUAUGACAUGCUACCUCUCUCAAAAAAUGCCGCAAGCGUGUAACAUCCUAAUUAAUUUACAUUUCAGGUGGGUUUCAAUUGUUUUAUAAUUUGUACUCAAAAUGAUAGAAAUAUAUUAAAAUUUUUUUUUUUUAUUUAUAGAAGAAGUAAGGGCUAUGUUUUUUAUUUUAUCUUCACCACAUUAAUACCGUACCCCUAAAAUAUUUCUGAAAUUUUAAGAGCCCAAAGUGUAGCUUCGUAAGAGUCAGAAAAAAAACAAAGACAAAAAGCAAAAAUUUAUAAGGAUAUUUUCUGUAAUUUCGCCUUUCGUCUCAGGUCAAUUUCCUUGAAGCCAGCAGAUUAGAGUAUUUCGUCACCGAAAUUAGCUCGUUCUUUGAGUACGAGUCGUCACUCUUACUUGUUUCGUCGCCGACUCUGUAAAGGCAACUCAAUGCUUUUUCAUAUUCGGCAUUCCAGGUGCGUCGUUGCCGAAUUUGGAGGAAAAUAACAAACUUUCAGUUGCUUAAUAGUUAAUACACAACAGCUAGCCAUAUAUAUCCAUGCUUUAUAUACCAUAGUAUUUUCUUAAGCUCUUGUGGUGCAAUUUCACAGAUAAUGUGUCAAAAUAACAAAUUGGGCACCAAUUAUGAUACUAGUUCUCAAAUUUCAGUUGAGUUUCACUUUUGAAGCACCCCGUCCUGAUUAAUUUUUGAAGUAAAAUUAAAUUUCAAGUCUGAAAUUCCUAUAUAAUGCAUGAAUUAGAGUUAAAAUUAGUGUUUUAAAUUUUUAAUGUGAAAUGCCCGAUCUUGGAUUGUUCCUCCAUUUAUUUCUCUAUUCUCUGCGUUUUAUUAUUAUUAUUAAUUAUUCAAUUUUGAAAUUGACCCCUUUUUUUUUUUUUUGGUAUGAUUUGCACUUUCUCUAUUUACCAGUCAUUUGAUUGAACUCCAUCUACUGGUAAUUUUGGAGAUUCUAUUGGAAUCAAACACUUAACGAAAUAUGCAUGUAACUUUUUUUUUUUUCACUAAAGCAAUUUUUGCUCACGUGAAUCGAUCUCCAGAGGGUGUUUGUUUUGAUUCUAACAAAAUUAUCAAAAUUACUAACAGAAUAAACUAAGUCGAUCCGACCGUUAGUAAGUAGAGAGGGUGUAAAUUAAAUUAAAAAAAAUAGAGGAUCCAUCUAAAAAUUGCUUAAAGUUUAAUUAGAGGUUUUAACCUUUUUUCCGUAUCGGAGUAUAUACAUAAAUGUUUGUUCCUUGGAUGGAUGAUAUAUAUGAGGCUAGCUAGAAACACUAAAAAUUGGCAUGUUGAUACGAGGCUAGAAAUUAACACUAAAAAUUGGCAUGUUAAUUAAUUAAUUAAUUUAGAUUUUUGGCCAAUGUGGGAAACAGAAGCUAAUCAUGGUGCUAAGCUUGGAACAUCUAAAAGUUUAAGCGCCCACUGAAACAAAUUAAUCAAAGUUUACAAAUCCAAGUAAAAUCUCAGCAAUAGUUUGGAAACUAGUAGUAUUAUAGCUUGACCAAAUACAACAAAAAACCUAGAUUGCGCUCUCUCUCUCUCUCUCUCUCUCUCUCUCUCUCUCUCUCUCCUUUUCUUCUUUAAUUCCAAUGGAGUAGGUCUAAAUUAUUGUAAAACUCCACCCACAAUUGAAACACACUACAACUAAAACACUUAAACCACUCCAACUCCACCUCAUCACCCCAUGCAUGCAUGUAUAUAUAUAUACGAUCCCUAGCUUCCCAUAUAUACAACACACGCUCUCUAAAACAAAGCUUUGUACCACACCCAAAAUUAAGCUUACUACACACACGCGCACGCAAAGCCAAACGCUUAUAUAUACUCACACCUUCAUAUAUAUAAUAAACUUUCCCAAUGGAAACCCUCAAACCAACCCCUCUCUUCACUCUCCUCCUCCUCCUCCUCCUUACUCUCGCCGCCGCCGUCGCCGCGACCGCGAACGCAUCCGCUCGUAAAACCGGUCCCCCGGUUCCCGUCUCCGUCGAUGCCUCAGCCGCCCCCUCCACGUCGCCAUCCGACAUGGCGGAGGACUCUGCCACGUCGGCAUCCGCCGCCGGUGCUGCGGCUGCCCCCUCCACUUCGUCGUCCGACGUGGCAGAUGACGCCGCCGCGUCGGCGUCGGCGUCGGAGCAGCCCCCAAUCAGCUUCUUCAUGCACGACGUGCUGGGGGGCGCGAACCCGUCGGCGCGCAUCGUCUCCGGGAUCGUCGACAACACGGCGGUCAACGGCCAGCUCCCCUUCGCGCGCCCCAACGGCGCCGUGCUCCCGUUCAACGGCGGGGUCUCGGUCAGCGGCGGCGCCGGGAACGGCGCCGUCGACAACAACAACCUCCCCUUCCUCACCGGCCUCGGCGGGACCACCAACGCCGUCACCCAAACUAACGGUAACGGUAACGGUAAUGGCGUCGCCAACGGGCUCCCGUUCUUCGCGGGGGGAAACCUCCCCGAGGGCACGUCCCUGCAGAAGCUCCUGUUCGGGACGCUAACGGUGAUGGACGACGAGUUAACGGAGGGGCCCGAGCUGGGCUCGGGGGUGGUGGGAAAGGCGCAGGGGUUUUACGUGGCGAGCUCGGAGGAGGGGACGAGCCAAACGGUAGCGCUAACGGCGAUGCUAACGGCGGGGGAUUAUGCGGACUCGAUAAGCCUCUUCGGGGUGCACCGCACGGCGGAGUCGGAGUCGUACCUCGCGGUGGUGGGCGGGACCGGGAAGUAUGCGGGCGCCAAGGGGUUCGCGAAGGUCGCGGUCGUGCGGACGCCCGCAGCGGCGCACGAGACCGACGGGGUCGAGUCGGUGCUCCAGUUCACGGUGUAUCUCUCCGCGUACUAGCUAGUAUUGGAGGAUUUCUAUGCGGACUCGUGCGUGGUGUUCGUAUGCGGGUUAAUUUGUGUCUUUGAUUUGUGUGGGUUUUUUCUUUUUUCCUUUUUUUUUUUUUUUUGUGGGUUUGAAUGUUUAAGUGAUCGUGGAAAAGGGUGAUUGUAAUUUAUUUUAUGUGGAAUUCUCAGUGUUAAAUUUACUUUUAUGCCCUAGUAACUUUUUUUUUUUUAUUUGCCUUCUGUAUGUAUAUAAUUUUUUUAUUAAACAAAUAAGUUUUAAAUGAAUUUAAAAAAAAAUUAUUUAAAAUUUAGAUAAUUUAAAUUAAUUUUGAAAAAUAAAUUUUUUUUUUAAAAAAUCUAUAUUAGAAAAAAGGAAAAAAUUAAAGAAAAAGGUCGCCCCGUAUUAAGGCUUAGUUUUAAAUGGAAUGGGCCGUCCCGGGCCACAUCCGGCCUUGACUUUGAUGCGGGCCAGGUCGUGUCAAGCCACGGGCCGAAAGGCUAUGGCCUAGCACGGCUCACAACUUUGCAGGGCCAGGCCGGCCCACAGGCCACUCGGCCGUUUGACACCCAUAACCUUAACAAAAAAUUAAAAUCUCUUAAUUUUUUUAUUAUAUAUUCAAAAUAGUUUCGCUACAAUUUCUUUAUUAUUAUUAAUUUUUGUUAGUAUUCUGCUAUGACCCAUUUGUAUAAAAAAAAUAUAUUAGUUUUGAGAUUUUGCAAAAGUGGGCUGCAUUUUUGGAUUUUGUAGAUUCUGAUCGAAUUUUUAAAAAGAUGAUGAAAGUACCCCCUCUUUCAAAAUGCAUAAAGAGUAUAUGCAUUAAAUGUCUUAGAAAAUACAACUGAUAAGUUAUUAUUAUAGUUAAAUUUUUCUUGAAAAACGGAGUUCUCAUUAACAUAUAAAUAAAAAUCUUGAAAUAAUAAAAGUAAAAAAGAAAGAAUAGAAUACACCUUAAAUACUGCAACAUCAUUUCAAAUUAUGCAAUAUUUUUUUCAAAUAGUGUAAUAUUUGUACAAACACUGUAAUAUUUGAACAAUUUAUAUAAUAUUAUAUAAUUUUUUAUACAAAUGAUAAAUAAUACAGUAUAUUAUGCGCAAAUAAUAUAACAUAUUAUAAUAUACUAUACAAUCAUGCAUUAUAUGUCUAAACGAUGCAUAUUUUGCAUUAUUUGUACAAAUACUUACAUCAUUUGUAUAGAUGUUGUACUAUUAUGAGAGAAUGUUGCACAAUUUAGAUGGCAUGUUGUACUCAUUCUUUUCAAAAAUUAAAUUGCAUUGUAUAUUAAAUAAAGUAUUAAAUUUCUUGAAAAUGACAAAUACUAAGUCAUAAUUGCAUUUACAUUUUCUUGAGAUAUGAAAAUCCUCAUUUAAGUUAAUAAAAAAAUAAAGUAUAGUUGAUAAGAUAAAAAGGUGCAAUAUACUCUCAAAUAGUGCAAUAUUCUCUUCCAAAUAAUGCAUUAUCUAUGUAAAUAGUGCAAAAUAUGCAUCGUGAAUACAUAUAUUACAUGAUUUUUAUACAAAAUUACGAAUAAUAUAAUAUAUAACGUGCAAAUAACAUGCAAAUAAUGUAACAUAUUAUAAUACAUUAUAAAAAUCAUGCAUUGCAUGCAUAAACGGUGUAUAUUUUGCACUAUUUGUAUAAAUAUUUAUACUAUUUGUAUAUAUGUUGCACUAUUAUGAGAGAAUAUUGCACCAUUUAAAUGGUAUAUAUGUUACACUCUUUCUUUUUAAAACUUAAAGUGUAUUAAAUAUUAAAUAAAGUGUUAAUUUUUUUAGAAAUUACAAAUGCUAAGUCAUAAUUGUAUGUAUAUUUCCCAAGAUAUGAGAACUGUCAUUUAACAUAAAAUAAAAAAAAUAAAAUAUAGUUAAUAGGAUGAAAGAGUGCAACAAACUCUCAAAUAGUACAAGAUUCUCUUCCAAAUAGUAUAAUAUUUGUGUAAAUAGUGCAAUAUAUGCAUCGUUAAUACACAUUGUAUGAUUUUUUAUAUAACAUUACAAAUAAUAUAGUAUAUAUUAUGCGUAAAUAAUACACAAAUAAUAUUUAUUUCCUUCCGUAAACUCAAGAGGGAUAGCUCGAGCGGGCUUGACAAUAAUAGCGGAGGCGAAGAUCGAGGUGAAGCUCCUCAUUGACAAGACGAUGAACGGGAUGGUGUACGCGGAGACUAACAAGAGGUUCAGCGACACCCUCCUCAGAUUCCUCACUAUCUCCCUUAACAAGAUUGUCCUCCUCCUCAACCCUAACCCUAGCUCCAUCCCUAACCCUAGCUCCAUCUCCUCCCUUCAUCGAUUUACUCAACCUUGCCUUCUUUCGCACCUACUCAUGCCACUCCUGUCACGCCCCAAGCCCGCCUGUUUGGUCAGAUUUGGGCACGCCGACAGACCGCCGAAUGGACAGAGUUUUCCCUGUACCGCGGACAGAGUCUCCUCUAUACAUUCAAGGCGUCGCAAUCAAUACAAAGCGCGAUGUUCCAACCAGAAACAGAUUUCAAGCAGAGAUUGCAUAAGGAAGUAUCGAAAACAUAAACAACUAAGUUAUUACAUGCAUUCAACGCAUUUAAUACAUUCUACAUCACAUAUUACACUUUUCAUUUUCUUUUUAGCUUCCUAAUACCAUCGAGUUCUUAACAAAGUUAUUACAACAUUGAUUUCUUGAUUCUAACUUCCAAAUACAAUCCAAUUCUUACUAUGUCAAUACAACUUGGUUCUUUUCUUUUCUUUGACAUCCCUAAGUAGCCGACACAGGGUAUCGUCAUCUCUCGUCUCGGUGGUAGGGCGCUAACUAUGGAGCUGCGCCCUCGCCUCGCGCCGCCACGCCACUCACGUGUGAACCUGUACCCCCAAAAACAAAACGGGGGUGAGAACUAUUAUCCAUAGUUCCCAGUAGGUACGGCCACCCAAGGAAAAAGCUCGACCCACCAGGUCCAAAGGAGGCACUGCAAACAUGUUAGUCCAACAGAUAUCCACAGAUAAUAUUUAUGCAAAUAUUGAAUACAUGUUUAUGCCUCAAGACAUGCAAUAUGUAAAUUAUGCAACUCAUGCAAGUAGAUUUAUUGAUUCUACUCUCUAUCAAUUAUCAUUCUUUAUAUUAUUAGCAAUUCUUUAUCACUCGCCAUUCUUUACUCUUUAUUCUUAGCCACAUUUUGCUCAAAUGUCAUUCUUUCCUAAGGUUACAUUUACCUUAGCCAACUAUGCCAUUCGACUCGGUCUUGAGUCAAUUCAUGAUGAAUGCAAGAUUACUGCUCAGAACCCAAUCUCUAGACUAGCCCGUAGGUUUCGCCCACAAUAGGCUCACCAACUCAAAUUCCAGUAUCGGGGAGACUACUACGCCCGACGGGACCGUCCUCUGGGGAGACUACUACAUCCAGUGAUGAUAACUCCGGAGCACAUCGCCCGAGGGGGAGCUACCGCCUUAGAAUAAGGACUUACAGGUGAGUAUGAUCCAAUCCUUAACUAUAAGGAUGUCAAGUUCAAUCCAUUCCUUAACUAUAAGGAAACAAUGCACAAACGACCCUUAACUCUAAGGUUGUUAUGUCAUAAUGUCACUAUCACUUUUUUACUUGCAUUCUUUAUUUUUAUUAGUGUCAUUUACACUACUUGUUCUUUAUACUCGUUUUCAUGCACUCGUUUUCAUGCACUCGUUUGUUCUCAUUAAUGCCACACACGCUAAGUGUUCUCUUUCUAGCAUUCUUUAGCAUUGAUUAUAUUCAUUAAUGCCACUCAUACAUCUAUGUCAACAUGUCACUUUGUUUUUAAGUUUUCAUUGUUAUGUCAAAUGCCACAAUGUCACAAUUGCACAAGUAUAUACAUUUUAGAACAUUUCACAACUUUCCGUCAUGCAUACUUUCCUCUAGCAUACUCCAUAAUGUCAACAUGCAUAUUCAUUUAUCAUAUUCCACUAUAUGUCUAUAUACAUAUACCAAACAUUCAUAUGUCAUCUAACAUGUUUCAUAAUUUAUCAACAUGCAUAUUACCUCUAACAUAUUCCUCAAUGUAUUAAUAUGUUUAUCUCAACGGUAGGUAAUAAACAUCAAGCAUAAUAAGGUUCAUGCAUCCAUAUUAUCUUAUGCAACCUACUACUAUACAUGUAUGCAUCAAUAAUGAAAUAUUACUUUGCUUCGACAUGGAAGCGAAUUAGACAUUUCGGUGAGCACAACCCACCUUGUAACGCUCUCCGAUUGCUUGUAGUCACUUGCAAUCGGCCUCCCGCGGCACCCGUGACCCGCUUUGGCCCGAACUCUUGCGCGACCACCCGAACGGCCACCAAUCCAUGAUCCGUAAAUUAAAGAUCUAUAACUUGAUGCCACGAUGCUUCAGAUCCGUUCUCGUGAUUUUUGGACGUCACCUCGGCCCUCCAGGCGGAAACGAAGCCGAAAUGUCCGUUUCUUCAAUAUGUUCGCAUAGGCUCGACGAAUCGCCGAACCGACUUCGCCAACGCGUUCGUAUACCUAGCAAUUAGGUUUGUAUAGGGUUAAAUUAGAUCAAAUCCUUAUAUUUUACAAAACCCCAUUAUGAGCCCUAACAUUGAACCAAUGCAAGAAUCCAUCAUAUAACUUCAUGAUUCAAGCAUUAACCAUCUACUUAGCACCCUAGGAUGCAUCUAAAACCAUUCUAGAGCUUAAAAAUCUAAACCCUAGAAAUCUACCAUUAAAGGGUUUGAAGCUUACCUCAAAAGCUCUCCUCAAAGCUAAGGAAGAAAAUGAAGAAGAUGAAGAUCCACCUUCGAGUUUCCUUCUCCACCAAAUCCUUCAAUUUUGGGAGAGAUUUAGAGACAGAAAGGGAGGUUUUUCUCUCUCCCUCUCCAUGCGUGUGUGUGUUGUGUGUGUGCUGUGUUCGGUUGAGGAGGGAGGAGAAGAAAAGCCUCCAUUACACAAAUAGCCCCUCAAUACUAUUCACGUCAGUUUUCAGCUUAGAUACAGAUAUUUUUCGCCUGCCAUUCUGAAUGUCCGUUUGAGCUCAAAUUUGACAGUCAUGCUCGGUUUUACUUAACUUAACGAAAGAAUUUUUAAUCUUUCAGUUUCGACCCCGUUUGAUCACGGAAAGCUCUAUCGAACUGUAAUUUCUAGCAGAUAGCAGUCGGAUUUUAUUUUCCACUUUUCGGAUGUCAGAAUGACAUGAAAGUUUAAAUCUAGCCUCAUAAAAAUAAUUCUGACAUAAUCUCUAGUUUUCGUAAUUUUCUGACACUGUGCAUUUUCUACUAAAAUAUUAGCUCCGUUUCUCACAGAAAAUUUCAAAUCUUUUGUUUUCGUUCUGAUUUUAGCACAGGUUAUUUCCAACUUAUAUUUUAUUUCUAUAAAUCCAAUAAAAAUAGUACCUCAUACUAUUUUUAUUUAUUUUUACUUUUAUACCAAAAUCUGGUAUGUUACAUUCUCUACCCCUUAAAAGAAUUUCAUCCGCGAAAUUCAAACCACGCCUCAAUUUAGCUUCUCGAGCAAUUGAGGGUACCAAUGCAGUUUCCCAUUCUGGAAUGGCAUCACGUUCAUCGGAACGAUUCAAAGGCCUGCAACGGAGGAUACAAAAUCAAACGCAUACAUGUUUGCAAGGCGCAGCACAUAAAGUGCAUUACGGUCUCCGUCCUUCUUGGCAGCAGCGCAAGUCGAAACUCGACGACUCUACGCGCUUCAACACCGCUCGCCACUUGGCACGCAAGAACUCUUCUUUGCAUUUACCUUUUCUUCGGGAAAUACAUUCUGAUUUGAUCACCGACAUUGCUUAGAAGCAAUAUCACCGGUGCACCGCUCCAUCGUGAGUGCUCCAAUUCCGCACUAACCUUUAGCUCUAAUGUGAGAUGGCCCACCUCGGCGCAUCCCAAUUCCAAUCCUCAAACUCCACGUGGCUUGCUACUAGCUCAAGGUCUCACCAAGAGCACUUCAUCAUCUGAUACCACAUGCCGCGAUUAACAUCAAACUAUUUUCGCAACGAGCUCACUCGAACGCUUCGUUAAUAAAUUCGAGUGAAAUUCCUCGAUAAGGCUAUCCGCCAAAUCGCUCUCUUCGGUCUCCACAGGUGGACCAAAGGCCACCAAUCCUACGUAGGCCUACCGCUUAAACCUGUCUCAAUACGCAGCGUCUCUCGCUUGCAAAUGCAGACCCAAUCAUUAUCGGGCAAAAUUCUCACUUUGGAAUUCGCACACUCCAGCUAGGAGCAACUAAAAUCCCAAACCGUUACAAAUCCUCGGGUUGGAUCACAAUUGCACUCUCGGUAUACUAUCAACCGCACGACAUGCUUUACCGAGCCACAUGCACCACUACCGGCUCUUAAGCAGCUAGUGCGAGCCACCAGCCCUACGAGUGAUCCAAGGCACGCUUCACACUUAGCAAAGCUCAAGUGCUACUGCCAACUCACUCGCUCGGCUAAACACAGUUCGAACUCCACGAGUAACUCUACUCGAACGCCACACGCCUCUAUAGCGCUUCACACUAAGUCCAGCAUUAGGCAACUCUUGUCUACACACGCCGACUUUACGAGCACGACCCUCCUACCUCACAUCGAGAUACUACUAGGCCCACGUGCUAGUACUUGGCCACCAACCAACUGUUCCGUCAACAGUGAUUCACAUUCACUGUUCGACACAUCGAAACGACAUUCGAAAUACUCUGACUACACGGGUGCCCAUAAGCAUCAUGGCUCAACUCUCACAAUUUACUCCUCACAUUGCUUGGAGAGUCGAUUCGCCACUUCUGUCUCUACCGCGAGUCUCACUUCUUGCCAUAGAUCACUACCAGUACUUCACUAGUGCCAUCUGGCUCUAUACCUGUACUGGUAGGUACUACGCGCUCACAACACGAGCAUGCCCGGGUAUCUAUACUUACCCGUCCACUAGGUCUCUACUAUGGUCAUGCACGAUAAUAGUAAUUAACCACAUAACCAUUGCAUGCAAUGCAUGGACUUCACGUCAUGCAAAACAUAUGCUUGCAUCAAUAACCCAUACCUGCAACAACGUCGUCAGCAGUAGGUUCCUCAACCUGGGUCGUGUAUCUACGGCCACACGGCACUCGCCGCGAACCCUUAGGUUGCAUUGUCCUCAAGACCCUCUCACAGCUCACACUGCUGUGGGUAGCGAAAACACCCACAAACGACAUAUCUCACCAAGGACCGAAUACCGUAGGUCCCCAAAACUCGGGAUCAUGAGCGCGAACACAUUGCACUCAGUUGAGAACUUGACGGACUACCGAAUCCACUCGUUGGCCGUCCUAUUUUCUUUUUCCUUGCAAUUAGACUCAUGCUCCCUCCCGCACAAUUGCACUGCCUUGUUCUAUCCAUAAGGUCUAAUCCUCAAAUCUCUUCUAAUCUCCACCACUCCACACUCGGGAAGGGCUCCUAGAGAAAUAGAGGGAGAAAAACCACUUGUUGGGUUGUCUCUGGCUGUGAACAAGAAAGGAGGAGUUGGCGGGGUCUUUAUAGGAUGCCACAAUCGCAUUUAAACCCCCAAUCAUAUUUGUAGCAGACCAAAGUUUGCUGCGAGGCCCAAAGUGUACCGGUACACUUCAUGGUGUCACUGGUAACACGAUCUCGCAGAACCAAACCCGAGAGCAACUACUCGGGUUCUGCCAAAGUGUACCGGUACACACCAGGGGUGUUACCGAUAACACACUCGCGCAGAGGCAAACCCGAAAGCAUUCUGCUCUCGGUCUGUGAUGGCUGUACCGGGACAGCAUCAAUGUUGUACCGGUACACUUUGCCCAGAUUGCUAUUUUAGCUCCUUUUCGACUCUACUUCACGCCGAGCAAUGUUAAAACCUUACUAAUUCUUUUGAGACUCAACUUUGACUCUUCCAACAUUAUUAGAAUGUCAAUUGGACUUUGUCCAAUUAUUUCUCUCGACGCACUUCGGUCAAUUUGACCAAAAGUGAUCUAACGCGAUGAGGAUUCCAUUAUUUUCUCAAAGGUCACGAGGGCCGCCAAAACUUGGAAAGUUCCAAGUCUCCGCUUGCCUUAAAUUGCCCAGGGACACCACUUGGACCAUCCCGCGCCGAUCUAAACGAAGAUCACCUAAAAGUGCUAUCGCUUCCUAAAACGCGACAACUUUAUUAAUCCUCGACCUUCUAGGUCGAACACGAGACACUUAAUACCGACUCAAAUCGGGCGAAAGUCACGCAAGGGUGUCUAUUCUUAUCACUCGGUUUCAUAUUGUGCGCGCCCAACACGAACAUCCUCGGUUGAGAAUAACCCACAUCUUGAAUCUACCUCUAACAUCAGUCUUAGAGGUUUAUGACACAACCCAAUCAAUUUACCUUUUGCCAAAAGUCACAAGUCCUCGUCUCUCACGAGCCUUAAUCACCUAUGGUUUACUAUCCUAGGGUUUCCUAGGUCCGACUAAACCAUUUUCUAUUAUUCUUUUUAUAUUCUUUUUAUGCUCUGAUACCAUCUUAGCUGUCACACUCCGAGCCCGUCUCUUUGGUCGGAUUCGGGCACGCCGACAGACCGCCAAACAGACAGAGUUUUUCCUGUACGUUCUAGGCGUCGCAAUCAAUACAAAGCGCGAUGUUCCAACCAGGAACAGAUUUCAAGCAGAGAUUGCAUAAGGAAGUAUCGAAAAUAUAAACAACUAAGUUAUUACAUGUAUUCAACGCACUUAAUACAUUCUACAUCACAUAUUACACUUUUCAUUUUCUUUUUAGCUUCCUAAUACCAUCGAGUUCUUAACAAAGUUAUUACAACAUUGAUUUCUUGAUUCUAACUUCCAAACACAAUCAAAUUCUUACUAUGUCAAUACAACUUGGUUCUUUUCUUUUCUUUGACAUCCCAAAGUAACUGACUCAGGGUACUGCUAUCUCUGGUCUCGGUGGUAGGGUGUUAACUAUGGAGCUACGCCCUCGCCUCGCGCCGCCGCGCCGGUCACGUGUGAACCUGUACUCCUAAAAACAAUACGGAGGUGAGAACUAUUGUCCAUAAUUUUCAGUGGGUACGGCCACCCAAGGAAAAAGCUCGACCCACCAGGUCCAAAGGAGGCACUGCAAACAUGUUAGUCCAACAGAUAUCCACAGAUAAUAUUUAUGCAAAUAUUAAAUACAUGUUUAUGCCUCAAGACAUGCAAUAUGUAAAUUAUGCAACUCAUGCAAGUAGAUUUAUUGAUUCUACUCUCUAUCAAUUACCAUUUUUCAUAUUAUUAGCAAUUCUUUAUCACUCGCCAUUCUUUACUCUUUAUUCUUAGUCACAUUUUGCUCAAAUGUCAUUCUUUCCUAAGGUUAUAUUUACCUUAGCCAACUAUGUCACUCGACUCGGUCUUGAGUCAAUUCAUGAUGAAUGCUAGAUUACUGCUCAGAACCUAAUCUCUAUGCUAGUCCGUAGGUUUCACGCACAAUAGACUCACCAACUCAAAUUCCAGUAUCGGGGAGACUACUACGCCCGACGGGACCGUCCUCUGGGGAGACUACUACACCUAGUGAUGAUAACUCCGGAGCACAUCGCCCGAGGGGGAACUACCACCCUCGAGUAAGGACUUACUGGUAAGUAUGAUCCAAUCCUUAACUAUAAGAAUGUCAAGUUCAAUCCAUUCCUUAACUAUAAGGAAACAAUGCACAAAUGACCUUUAACUCUAAGGUUGUUAUGUCAUAAUGUCACUAUCACUCUUUUUCUUGCAUUCUUUACUUUUAUUAGUGUCAUUUACACUACUUGUUCUUUAUACUCGUUUUCAUGCACUCGUUUGUUCUCAUUAAUGUCACACAUGCUAAGUGUUCUCUUUCUAGCAUUCUUUAGCAUUGAUUAUAUUCAUUAAUGCCACUCAUACAUCUAUGUCAACAUGUCACUUUGUUUCUAAGUUUUCAUUGUUAUGUCAAAUGCCACAAUGUCACAAUUGCACAAGUAUAAACUUUUUAGAACAUUUCACAACAUUCCAUCAUGCAUACUUUCCUCUAGCAUACUCCACAAUGUCAAAAUGUAUAUUCAUUUAUCAUAUUCCACUAUAUGUCUAUAUACAUAUACCAAAUAUUCAUAUGUCAUCUAACAUGUUCCAUAAUUUAUCAACAUGCAUAUCACCUCUAACAUAUUCCUCAAUGUAUUAACAUGUUUAUCUCAACGGUAGGUAAUAAACAUCAAGCAUAAUAAGGUUCAUGCAUCCAUAUUACCUUAUGCAACCUACCACUAUACAUGUAUGCAUAAAAAAUGAAAUAUUACUUUGUUUCGACAUGGAAGCGAGCUACACAUUUCGGUGAGUAUAACCCACCUCGUAACGCUCUCCGAUUGCUUGUAGUCACUUGCAAUCGGCCUCCCGCGGCACCUGUGACCCGCUUUGGCCCGAACUCUCGCGCGACCACCCGAACGGCCACCAAUCCACGAUCCGAAAAUUAAAGGUCUAUAACUUGAUGCCACGAUACUCCAGAUCCGUUCUCGUGAUUUUUGGACGUCGCCUCGGCCCUCCAGGCGGAAAUGAAGCCGAAACGUCCGUUUCUUCAAUAUGUUCGCAUAGGCUCGACGAAUCGCCGAACCGACUUCUCCAACGCGUUCGUAUACCUAGCAAUUAGGCUUGUAUAGGGUUAAAUUAGAUCAAGCCCUUAUAUUUUACAAAACCCCAUUAUGAGCCCUAACAUUGAACCAAUGCAAGAAUCCAUCAUAUAACUUCUGAUUCAAGCAUUAACCAUCUACUUAGCACCCUAGGAUGCAUCUAAAACCAUUCUAGAGCUUAAAAAUCUAAACCCUAGAAAUCUACCAUUAAAGGGUUUGAAGCUUACCUCAAAAGCUCUCCUCAAAGCUAAGGAAGAAAAUGAAGAAGAUGAAGAUCCACCUUCGAGUUUCCUUCUCCACCAAAUCCUUCAAUUUUCGGAGAGAUUUAGAGAGAGAAACUGACGUUUUUCUCUCUCCCUCUCCAUGCGUGUGUGUGUUGUGUGUGUGCUGUGUUCGGUUGCGGAGGGAGGAGAAGAAAAGCCUCCAUUACACAAAUAGCCCCUCAAUACUAUUCACUUCAGUUUUCAUUUCAGGUAUAGAUAUUUUUCGCCUGUCCUUCUGAAUGUCCGUUUGAGCUUAAAUUUGAUAGUCAUGUUCGGUUUUACUUAACUUAACGAAAGAAUUUUUGGUCUUUCAGUUUCGACCCCGUUUGGUCACCGAAAGCUCUACCAAACUGUAAUCUCUAGCAGAUAGCAGUCGAAUUUUAUUUUCUACUUUUCAGAUGUCAGAAUGGUAUGAAACUUUAAAUCUAGCCUCAUAAAAAUAAUUCUGAUAUAGUCUCCAGUUUUCGUAAUUUUCUGACACUGUGCAUUUUCUGCUAAAAUAUCAGCUCCGUUUCUCACAGAAAAUUUCAAAUCUUCUGUUUUUGUUCCGAUUUCAGCACAGGUCAUUUCCAACUUAUAUUUCAUUUCUCUAAAUCCACUAAAAAUAAUAUCUCAUACUAUUUUUAUUUUUUUUUACUUUUAUACCAAAAUCUGGUAUGUUACAUUCUCCACCCCUUAAAAGAAUUUCGUCCGCGAAAUUCAAACCACGCCUCAAUUUAGCUUCUCGAGCAAUUGUGGGCACUAAUGCACUUUCCCAUUAUGGAAUGGCAUCACGUUCAUCGGAAUGAUUCAAAGGCCCGCUACGGGGGAUGCGAAUCAAACGCAUACACGUUUACAAGGCGCAGCACAUAAAGUGCAUUACGGUCUCCGUCCUUCUUGGGGGCAGCGCAAGUCGAAACUCGACGACUCUACGCGCUCCAACACCGCUCGCUACUUGGCACGCAAGAACUCUUCAUUGCAUUUACCUUUCCUUCGGGGAAUACAUUCCGAUUCGAUCACCGACAUUGCAUAGAAGCAAUAUCACCGGUGCAUCGCUCCAUCGUGAGUGCUCCAAUUCCGCACUGACCUUUAGCUCUAACGUGAGAUGGCCCACCUCGGCGCAUCCCAAUUCCAAUCCUCAAACUCCACGUGGCUUGCCACUAGCUCAAGGUCUCACCAAGAGCACUUCAUCAUCAGAUACCACAUGCCACGAUUAACAUCAAACUAUUUUUGUAACGAGCUCACGCGAACGCUUCGUUAAUGAAUUCGAGUCAAAUUCCUCGAUAAGGCUAUCCGCCAAAUCGCUCUCUUCGAUCUCCACAGGCGGACAAAAAGGCCACCUAUCCUAUGUAGGCCUACCGCUUAAACCUGUCUCAAUACGCAGCGUCUCUCGCUUGCAAAUGCAGACCCAAUCAUCAUCGGGCAAAAUUGUCACCUGGGAAUUCGCACACACUCUAACCAGGAGCAACUAAAAUUUCAAACCGUUACAAAUCCUCGGGUUGGGUCACAAUCGCACUCUCGGUAUACUAUCAACCGCACGACACGCUUAACCGAGCCACACGUACCACUACCGGCUCCUAAGCACCUAGUGCGAGCUACCAGCCCUACGAGUGAUCCAAGGCACGCUUCACACUUAGCAAAGCUCAAGUGCUAUUGCCAACUUACUCGCUCGGCUAAACCCAGUUCGCACUCCACGAGUAACUCUACUCGAACGCCACACGCCUAUAGCGCUAUAACGCUCCACACUAAGCCCAGCAUUAGGCAACUCUUGUCUACGCACGCCGACUUUACGAACACGAUCCUCCUACCUCACAUCAAGAUACUACUAGGCCCACGUGCUAGUACUUGGCCACUAACCAACUGUUCCAUCAACAGUGAUUCACAUUCACUGUUCGACCCACCGAAACGACAUCCGAAAUACUCGGACUACACGGGUGCCCAUAAGCAUCAUGGCUCAACUCUCGCAAUUUACUCCUCAUAUUGCUUGGAGAGUAGAUUCGCCAUUUCUGUCUCUACCGCGAGUCUCACUUCUCGCCAUAGAUUACUACCAGCACUUCACUAGUGCCAUCUGGCUCUAUACCUGUACUGGCAUGUACUACGCGCUCACAACACGAGCAUGCCCGGGUAUCUAUACUUACCCGUCCACUCGGUCUCUACUAUGGUCAUGUACGACAAUAGUAAUUAACCACAUAACCAUUGCAUGCAAUGCAUGGACUUCACGUCAUGCAAAACAUAUGCUUGCAUCAAUAACCCAUACCUGUAACGACGUCGUCAGCAGCAGGUUCCUCAACCUGGGUCGCGUAUCUACGGCCACCCUUAGGUUGCAUUGUCCUCAAUACCCUCUCACAGCUCACACUGCUGUGGGUAGCGAAAACACCCACAAACGACACAUCUCACAAGGACCGAAUGCCGUAGGUCCCCGGAACUCGGGAUCACGAGCGCGAACACAUUGCACUCAGUUGAGAACUUGACGGACUACCGAAUCCACUCGUUGGCCGUCCUAUUUUCUUUUUCCUUGCAAUUAGACUCAUGCUCCCUCUUGCACAAUUGCACCGCCUUGUUCUAUCCACAAGGUCUAAUCCUCAAAUCUCCUCUAAUCUCCACCACUCCACACUCGAGAAGGGCUCCUAGAGAAAUAGAGGGAGAAAAACCAUAUGUUGGGUGGUCACUGGCUGUGAACAAGAAAGGAGGAGUUGGCGGGGUCUUUAUAGGAUGCCACAAUCGCAUUUAAACCUUUCCCCCAAUCAUAUUUGUAGCAGACCAAAGUUUGCUGCGAGGCCCAAAGUGUACCGGUACACUUCAUGGUGUCACCGGUAACACGAUCUCACAGAACCAAACCCGAGAGCAACUACUCGGGUUCUGCCAAAGUGUACCGGUACACACCAGGGGUGUUACCGGUAACACACUCGCGCAGAGGCAAACCCGAGAGCAUUCUGCUCUCGGUCUGCGAUGGCUGUACCGGUACACUUCAUCGUUCUUUUACUCCUUUCUUUUUUUUUUUUUUCUUUUUUUACUCUCUAUUUUUAACUCUUUAUUUUUUUUGUUUCAUUUCCGCCUAAGAUUUUUUGAUGAAACAAUAUUUCCAUUGUCGUCAUCAUUAAUGAUAUUAAUUCUCUACAGGCGACAACCUAGGUUUCUGAUUUCUCUUUAUUUUUUUUUUCAUUUUUUUGAAUGUUAGUAUAUAAUAUUAGUAAUUACUACAACUAUAUAUUCUCUUUAUGUAUAAUAUUGUAUCAUAAUUUUCUUAUUUUUGUGUGUUUACAUAUGAAAUUAUUUUGAAUUUUAGGCUUUUAAUCAGUCAAUAUAAUGGCCGAAACAAGUCUUGUCCAGACAAUUUAAUAAAUUCUAUAAAAACAUAUAGGUAUACGGAUACUCGUACCCGAUUUAGACCCGAUUCAUACCCGGUCUUUAACGAGUAGUAUAUGGAUAGUCACUACCCAGACCCGCUCAAAUAGAUCUGAUGGAUAUAUUAGUAACUUACGUAUCAUGUUCCAGACCCAAUCCGAAAUUAAAUGGGUAGGGUAUAGUUUUUUUUAACCAUUAUUUUUUAGGGUACGGGUACAGUAUAUCAAUUAUCUAGACCUGACCCGGUCCAUGGACACCUUUAGUGACUGAUGAUUUUCGUGUGAUGAAGUGUUGUGCUUCGAAUUGUUUGGCGCUGCUUCAAAGUGUAGGGAAUAAGAACUCAUCUUUUCCAUGCUUUACUUUCUAAAUUAAAGUAUUUAGAUUUAGGGUUGGACUCUCCAAGACCUCUUCUUUUACUUUUCUUACUCCAACUCCAAGUUUUUAGCCUAAAAUUGAGUUUUUAGCCUAAAAUAGAGAAAGUAUAGUAUUAUUGAUGACUUUAGAGUAGAAACAAGUGGUGCCAAGGGAGAGAAAGAAGAAGAUGGUGGAAUAGGAAACGAGAAUGUUUUUCUCUUGUGGGUUGAGAGGAAAAAAAUAGACUUUUUUAUAAAAUAACUCUCUAAAAUUUUAUAUUUUGCGAAAUAAUACUAUCAAAUUUAUAUUUGGCAAACUAACCCUCUUUUCGCCACAUAGGAGUCACGUGGGAUUAUUUUUUGAAAAGCGGUGAAUCGUUUCCCGCAUUCUCCAAUUUCUUUUAAAGACGGUGGAUCGUUCACCACUUUCUCCUAUUUUUUAAAGAAGCGGUGAAUCGUUAACCGCUUUCUUCUAUUUCUUUUAAAUGCGAUGAAUUGUUCGCCGCAUUCAUUAAAAUUGUGCGUGGAUUAUAUAGGAAAUAGAAAAAAAAAUGAGAUUGUUAGGAUUAUAUGUGGAUCAUUACAAUUUUUAUUUUAUUGUUAGGAUUGUAUGGAUAGAUUUUUAGGAUUUUCAGUCUGUUAAGAUUAUAUGAAAUUGUAUGGAUAGAUUCUUAGGAUUUUUUUUAUAUGGAUAGAUUAUUAGGAUUUUCAGAUUGUUAAGAUUAUAUGAAAUUGUAUGGAUAGACUAUUAGGAUUUUCAGGCUGUUAAGGUUAUAUAAAAUUGUAUGGAUAAACGGUUGUGAAGAUUAUAUAUGAUUUGUUAAAAUUUUUAUGUGGUUGUUAAGAUUAUAUGAAAUAUAGAAAGACACAGUAAAUAAGCGAAAGGCAGUGAAUCAUUCAUCGCCUUUGUGGAAAAUUAGGAGGGUGGUGAACCGUUCGCCACCUUUAGUAAGGCAGUGAACGAUUCACCGCUUUCAUAAGAAAUAUCCGCCCCCACGCCUGUAACACACUGGACCUUUGCAAAUUGC
rnacentral:lncRNA from 1 species